UACGUAGGGUGCGAGCGUUUAAUCGGAAUUACUGGGCGUAAAGUGUGCGCAGGCGCAAAGCAAGUCGAGUGUGAAAGCCCCGGGCUUAACUUGGGAAUUGCGCUCGAAACUACUUUGCUGGAGUGUGGCAGAGGAAGGUGGAAUUCCACGUGUAGCGGUGAGAUGCGUAGAGAUGUGGAGGAACACCAAUGGCGAAGGCAGCCUUCUGGGCCAACACUGACGCUCAUGCACGAAAGCGUGGGGAGCAAACAGG
rnacentral:rRNA from 1 species